AACGAACGCUGGCGGCAUGCCUAACACAUGCAAGUCGAACGAGACCUUCGGGUCUAGUGGCGCACGGGUGCGUAACGCGUGGGAACCUGCCCUUAGGUUCGGAAUAACUCCCCGAAAGGGGUCCUAAUACCGGAUAAUGUCUUCGGACCAAAGAUUUAUCGCCGUUGGAUGGGCCCGCGUUGGAUUAGCUAGUUGGUAGGGUAAAAGCCUCCCAAGGAGACGAUCCAUAGCUGGUCUGAGAGGAUGAUCAGCCACACUGGGACUGCGACACGGCCCAGACUGCUACGGGAGGCAGCAGUGGGGAAUAUUGGACAAUGGGCGAAAGCCUGAUCCAGCAAUGCCGCGUGAGUGAUGAAGGCCUUAGGGUUGUAAAGCUCUUUUACCCGGGAUGAUAAUGACAGUACCGGGAGAAUAAGCUCCGGCUAACUCCGUG
rnacentral:rRNA from 1 species